CGGGGGGGCAAGCGUUGUUCGGAAUUACUGGGCGUAAAGGGCGCGUAGGCGGCCUGCUAAGUCGGAUGUGAAAUCCCUCGGCUCAACCGAGGAACUGCAUCCGAUACUGGCGGGCUUGAAUCCGGGAGAGGGAUGUGGAAUUCCAGGUGUAGCGGUGAAAUGCGUAGAUAUCUGGAGGAACACCGGUGGCGAAGGCGGCAUCCUGGACCGGUAUUGACGCUGAGGCGCGAAAGCUAGGGGAGCAAACGGGAUUAGAUACCCCGGUAGUCCUAGCCCUAAACGAUGAGUGCUUGGUGUGGCGGGUAUCGAUCCCUGCCGUGCCGAAGCUAACGCAUUAAGCACUCCGCCUGGGGAGUACGGUCGCAAGGCUG
rnacentral:rRNA from 1 species